AUUGAACGCUGGCGGCAGGCCUAACACAUGCAAGUCGAACGAGUCGCGCACGUGUGUGUCAUGUCUGGGACACUGCCUGAUGGAGGGGGAUAACUUCUGGAAACGGUAGCAAAUACCGCAUACCAUCAUAUGUGCCCAGAGGGGAGUGGCUUGUUGGGGGGGUAACGGCGCACCAAGGCGACGAUCCCUAGCUGGUCUGAGAGGAUGACCAGCCACACUGGAACGGAGAAACGGUCCAGACUCCUACGGGAGGCAGCAGUGGGGAAUAUUGCACAAUGGGCGCAAGCCUGAUGCAGCCAUGCCGCGUGUAUGAAGAAGGCCUUCGGGUGGUAAAGUACUUUCAGCGGGGAGGCGUUACCCGCAGAAGAAGCACCGGCUAACUCCGUGCCAGCAGCCGCGGUAAUUC
rnacentral:rRNA from 1 species